UACAGAGGGUGCAAGCGUUGUCCGGAAUCACUGGGCGUAAAGGGCGCGUAGGCGGCCCGGUAAGUAGGGGGUGAAAUCUCACGGCUCAACUGUGAGGCUGCCUUCUAGACUGCCAGGCUCGAGCACAGUAGAGGCUGGUGGAAUUCCCGGUGUAGCGGUGGAAUGCGUAGAGAUCGGGAAGAACAUCUGUGGCGAAGGCGGCUAGCUGGGAUGUUGCUGACGCUGAUGCGCGAAAGCGUGGGGAGCAAACAGG
rnacentral:rRNA from 1 species